AGAGGAGAGUGAAGAGAGAGUAAUCCCAUAAAAUUAUGAGGUAUUUGUGAGAGAGUAAAUGAGGUGUUUUCUCUUAAUAAUAGAGAGAUUCUUAGUUGUUCUCUUAUUAUUUGAGAAAUGUUGUAAUUCUCACAUUACUUAGUAAAAUUCUUCUAUACUUGCUUGUGGACGUAGCCCAAUUAGGAGUCUUAGUGAAAGACUAAAUAGCAUUCGAAGAGACAGAAAAAAGAUGAAUUGAACACAACGACUUUAGGAAAAGAUGAAACAGAAGUAGAGAGCGAGGUCAAGGUUAAGAUGAUCGAUGUGGUGGUUGCUUUAGUUACCACUAAUUCUUGCAUAACAAGAGCAUGCUCUGCCAGUAACUUGAUGGCCACACUUGAAGUUGCGGUGAUCGUCCAGUGUGACAAGUGAUUUUUCCUUCUAUCCUCGCCUCUCUUUUUUUUUUUCAUUUUGUUGUAGGGGGAGAGGUGAUUUGUUUCUGUUUUUUUACUGACUUGGUAUUGGGAAGAUCGUAUGUUACUGGGGCGUUGGGGUGUGUACAGAACUGGGUAAGCUAUUCAAAUAUUGUUUGAUGAAA